UUUUUUUUUUUUUUUUUUUUUUUUGGCCACACCCAUGGCAUCUGGAAGUUCCAGAGCUAGGGAUCAAAUCCAAGCUGGAGCUGUGACCUACACCACAGCUGUAGCAACGCUGGAUCAUUAACCCUCUUUGCCAUGGUGGGAAGACCUAUUUUUUCUCGUUAGUGGUAAAUAUUAUUAUUUUAAAGUCAAGGAUCUUUUUAUAUGCACUCAAAAAGUACAUAUAACCUAACUCUGCACCUUAAUGAAUUUUCAAAAACUGAACACACUACAUACUCAGGGCCCAGAUGGAAUCCUCAUCCUGCAGGGGCACAACUACCAUCCCGACCUCUAGGACCCGCAAUGGAGCAGUGACGGUGUUCGUACCUCAUUAAAUGGAAUCAUGUCGUACCUGCUCUUGGGUCUGCUUCUUUUGCCCAACACUGUAUGAGAUUCACCCAUAUUGCUGGCUAUGGCUGUAGAGUGUCCAUAUUUCUGUGUUCCAAUAAAACUUUAUUUAUAAAAGUAGAAUGAGGGUCAUAUUCGUUUGGUUUUUUAAAUUGAAGUGUAUUUAAUUUAUAAGGUUUUUUUAAUUUACAAGGUUGUGUUAGUUUCAAGUGUAUAGCAAAGUCAUUCUGUUAAUAUGUAUAUAAGCUGGAUUUAUAUAUUCAGUUUAUAGAUCGAUAGGUUCUUUUCAAUGACAGGUUAUCAUAAGAUAUUGAGUAUAAUUCCCUGUGCUGUAAGUAGGUCCUUGUUGUUUGCCUACUUUAUGUAUAGUAGUGUGUAUGUGUCAAUCUCAAACUCCUAAUCUCUCUCUCUUCCCUCCCCGCAAAUUGUCCAUUUUUAUUACUGAUUAUUGGAGGGUUGGCAUUCUAGGGCUCAUGGGCUAAAUUCAACCUUCCAUCUGUUUUCAUAAAUAAAGUUUUGCUUUUUUUUUUUUUUUUUUUUUUUUUUUUGCUCUUUAGGGCCGCCCCGGAUCCUUAACCCAUUGAGCGAGGCCAGGGAUCAAACCCACAUCCUCAUGGAUCCUAGUCAGGUUUGUUAACUGCUGAGCCACGAAGGGAAUUCCCAGUUUUGCUUUUUUUUUUGAAACACAGUCAUGCAUGCGGACGCAAUUCUGCACUAUCUAUGGCUGCAUUGUACUGCAGAGACAAAAGUUGGAAAGACCAUAUGGACACAAAGCUGAAGGUAUUUUCUAGUGCGUUACGGAAUAAGUUUUGGACUUCUGUGCAGCAUUCCAUUGUGUGAAUGUACUAAAACCUAAUUCUUCAUUUUAACGUUAAGGCGCAUUUGUGGAGUCGCCAAGUUGGGGCUGUUAGUAAUCUGCUAUGAACAUCUCACGUAUGUCUUUUAGUGAAAAACGCGUGUGCAUUUCCAUUGAGUCUAUUCCUGGGAGUGAAUUUGUUAAAUCACAGGGUAGACGUUAAGUUUAACCUUCUCAAAACCAUCCACCAGUCAUCCAAAGCGGUUGUGCCAUUAUUUCUCCCACAAGCAGUGUCUGAGGGUUUUGGUUGCUCUGUAUCCUCCUGCACUUGUAUUUUCUGUUUUUAUCAUUUUGGCCAUUUUCUUUGCUCCCCUUUUGGUGCUUCUUUUCUCUCUAGAAGUUACUUCUCAGCAUCAGGGGGUGACUGUUUCAUCUUUGAAUACUUUGUUUCCUUAAGAAACUCUUCAUAUUGUUGCCUUUUGGACUUUUAAAGAUCAGCAUGUGGAGUUCCCUGGUGAUCUAGUGGUUAAGGGCUAGGCGUUGUCACUGCUGUGCAUUAAAUAAAAAAUUUAACAUGCACGCCCCCACUUAAUGCUCUCUUCUCCAGAGAAAGAGAACUAAACAUUUCCAGCUUACUUUGUUGUUGUCGUUGUUGCAUUUUAGGGCAGCACGUGUGGCACAUGGAAGUUCCCAGGCUAGGGGUCGAAUCAGAGCUGCAGUUGCCAGCCUGUGCCACAUCCACAACACCAGAUCCGAGCCGCUUCUGUGACCUACAUCUCAGGUCACAGAUCCACAAAGCUGGAUCCUUAACCCACUGAGUGAGGCCGGGGAUUGAACCGGGGAUUGCAUCGUCAUGGAUACUAGUUGGGUUUGUUACUGCUGCGCCACAGUGGGGACCUCCCAGCUUCUUUAAAGUGGAUCAGAAAACACGGAUUUACAUGCCUUCACCAUCCUGGUUGCCUGGUUAACAACAGGCUUAGCAUGUCUGGGCCUCAGUUUCGCCCUCAGCUUUCUCAGGUUUUAUUUCGUUCACAGGAUGCGACUCCCAGGCCAGACUGCUCAUUGCUUUCUCCUGGACCUAAGUCUGUCAGCAAAUCUGGUUGGCAGGCGCCUCUGCUACUUGAAUUUUGCAGAGACCAGCCUCAUUGAACUCACCCAAACACUGUCAACAUGUGAAGGCAGGGUGGAGAGAAUGCAAAUACUAAUGAGGUUUGUGCGAUAUCAAAUUCCACAGAGUCUGGUAGGAACACUGCUUUGACUUCUCUUUAAAAGAAAGCCUAGCUAGGAGUUCCUACUGUGGCUCAACAGGAUUGAUGGCAUCUUGGGAGGGAGCACUGGGACACAGGUUUGAUCCCUGGGUGGGCACAGUGGGUUAAGGAUCUGUUGUUACCACAGCUGUGGUUUAGGUCGCAACCGCGGCUUGAUUCUGAUCCUUGGCCAGGGAACUCCAUAUUCCAAGGAGUGGCCACAAAAGGAAAGAAAAGAAAACCUAGCUCUUGUGUGUUAAUUCAUUUCAGCCUCUCAAUAUAAGCCCGUGCAGUAGAGAUUGUCACCUUUGUUUUAAUGAAUGGGGAAACUGAUGAGAAGCUGCAAGUUUUAGAACUUGCCCAGGGUACUAGUUUCUAAAGGUGGAGCCAGGGUUAUGGACUUAGGCUGCCAAGCUUUACGGGCACUGCUCUUUUAAAAAAUUUUUACUUAUUUAUAUUAUUUAGUCUUUUGACCUUUUAGGACCGCACCCAUGGCAUGUGGGGGUUCCCAGGCUAGGGGUCCAAUCGGAGCUGUAGCCGCCAGCCUACGCCAGAGCCACAGCAACGUGUGAUCCGAGCUGUGUCUGCGACCUACACCACAGCUCACGGCAACGCCGGAUCCUUAACCCACUGAGCAAGGCCAGGGAUUGAACCCCCAACCUCAUGGUUCCUAGUCGGAUGCGUUAACCACUGAGCUACGACCGGGACGCCUAUUUUUAUUUUUUAAGUUUUAUUGAAGUAUAGUUGAUUUACAAGGUUGUGAUAAUUUCUGCCGUACAACAAAGAGGUUCAGUUACACAUAUACACGCAUCCAGUCUUUUUCAGAUUCUUUCCCCACGUAGAUGAUCACAGAAUAUAGAGCCUAGUUCCCCGUGCUGGACAGUAGGUCCCCGAUGGGCAGUCAUGCCACGUGCCUCAGUGCAUGUGUCAAUACAGGCUUUGCUGUUAAUCAUGAUAUUUUUACAAGCAGAGUAACGGAGCUUCAUGUUUGCAAGAAAACCUUCACUUAUAGGUCAGAAUUGGAGGCCUGGCGGCUUGGCCAGCUCUGGUGUUGGAACAGGGAGCUGGAUGACAUCCCAGGGGAAGCUACCUAAUCUAACUCGCCCCCAGUUACUGAUGGGCCCAGGAAUCCAUGCCCCAGAGCCACAAAGCUCACCUGCCUUAAUCGCACUGUCAAUAACAGCGCUGCAAAAAAAUCACUCCGUGGGAGCCAGGGAAUCCCCAGAGGAUGAGCCAGAUGCCGUCGUCCCCAGGAGAAGGCAGGCCGGGAGAGUGGACAUUUACCACGGCGUGAGGGUUCACCUGCCCGAGGUCACACAGCUUCACUUCCACGUCCAUUGAAUUUUGGGUACAUGGUGUUUUGCCUCGGUUUACAAUUCACUUCAUUAUGUCUCAUUAGCAUUCCGUGUCAUUUACAGGGUCAUAGAGAAGCUGAAUCUAUCAGCCGUUCUCCUAGGACAUCUGGCUAAUCCAUUAACUUGCACCACCAGUUAUGAGCCCUCUUUCUACCUGGUUAUUUCGGAGAUCACGGUCUUGACUGGCCCUUCCUCAUUUUGGUACAGUUCCUUCACUUCUGGAAAUCUUUGACUUAUUCACAAUAAACUUACCUGCUCUUUUCAACUCAUAAUCAGAUAUACUGAACUUCAGUUAGGAAACAGAAUCCCAUAUAUGCCAAACUUACCUACUUACUGAAACAUCCUUUUUAAAAAUCCUUUCUUUGAAUUACACCUAGAUUUGUCAUUACACAUAUUAAUUUUCCUUUUUGAUCAUUAAAGACUCAUGGCUUUUCACAGACUCCCCUUGUUCUUUCAUUUAUUUAUUUAUUUAUUUAUUUAUUUAGUCUUUUUGCCUUUUCUAGGGCUGUCCCAUGGCAUAUGGAGGUUCCCGGGCCAGGGGUCGAAUCGGAGCUGUAGCCGCCAGCCUACGCCAGAGCCACAGCAACACGGGAUCCGAGCCACGUCUGAGACCUACGCCAUAGCUCACAGCAACGCCAGAUCCUCAACUCACUGAGCAAGGCCAGGGAUCGAACCCGAAACCUCACGGUUCCUAGUCGGAUUUGUUAACCACUGAGCCACGACGGGAACUCCACCCCUUGUUCUUUUAAAUCGCCAACCAUAGCCCUAGUUAUUUUUUGUGAUCUCCAAGUUGUUACAACCUGACCAGAGGGACCCCUUUCCUUUUCAGCCAACUCCCUUGUUCUUUUAGCAACAGCCAGGCAUUUUGGGUUGCAGCCUGGUUUUCUGGCCAUCGCAAGAUGUCUCAGGCCAUUCUGAUGUUCCCCCUGGUCCCAGACAUGGACCCAGCUUCUUUGAAUGAGCCCUGGAUACCGCUAAGGAAAAACGCUAUUGAGAUCAAUAUGUGGGAGCUGAGGAUACCAGCGUGCUGGUGAUGAGACGGCACUCCGCAGCCACUGAAAAGAACAAACUAGAAAAUAUGCCGCUUCCUAAGGUCAUAAUUAUGUUCUCAAAUUGCUCAAAUCAUUCUGAUAUUACAACACUGUUUUCUCUUAUGCCAUUUUAAAUGGAUUUUUCUCUACCAAGUGCCUAUUUAGAUUUUUAACACUUCGCUCAGACUAUGAUUAUCCCAACCUCUGAUUUCAUCAUUGCUGUGCGCCUCCAGGCCAUCAUUUUGAGGUCACGUGUAUGUAUCCUUUAUUAAAACCCGCUUUC
rnacentral:lncRNA from 1 species